rnacentral:rRNA from 1 species
GGGGAAUAUUGGACAAUGGGCGAAAGCCUGAUCCAGCAAUGCCGCGUGUGUGAAGAAGGCCUUCGGGUUGUAAAGCACUUUAAGUGGGAAAGAAGUUCAUUCAAUUAAUACCUGGAUGGAUUGACGUUACCCACAGAAUAAGCACCGGCUAACUCCGUGCCAGCAGCCGCGGUAAUACGGAGGGUGCAAGCGUUAAUCGGAAUUACUGGGCGUAAAGCGCAUGUAGGCGGUUUGAUCAGUCGGAUGUGAAAUCCCCGAGCUUAACUUGGGAAUGGCAUUCGAUACUGUCAAGCUAGAGUAGGCUAGAGGAAAGGGGAAUUCCGCGUGUAGCAGUGAAAUGCGUAGAUAUGCGGAGGAACACCAAUGGCGAAGGCACCUUUCUGGGGUCAUACUGACGCUGAGAUGCGAAAGCGUGGGGAGCAAAC